rnacentral:rRNA from 1 species
UUCGACACACUAUCAUUAACUGAAUCCAUAGGUUAAUGAGGCGAACCGGGGGAACUGAAACAUCUAAGUACCCCGAGGAAAAGAAAUCAACCGAGAUUCCCCCAGUAGCGGCGAGCGAACGGGGAGGAGCCCAGAGCCUGAAUCAGUGUGUGUGUUAGUGGAAGCGUCUGGAAAGGCGCGCGAUACAGGGUGACAGCCCCGUACACAAAAAUGCACAUAUUGUGAGCUCGAUGAGUAGGGCGGGACACGUGGUAUCCUGUCUGAAUAUGGGGGGACCAUCCUCCAAGGCUAAAUACUCCUGACUGACCGAUAGUGAACCAGUACCGUGAGGGAAAGGCGAAAAGAACCCCGGCGAGGGGAGUGAAAAAGAACCUGAAACCGUGUACGUACAAGCAGUGGGAGCCUCUUAAUGGGGUGACUGCGUACCUUUUGUAUAAUGGGUCAGCGACUUAUAUUCUGUAGCAAGGUUAACCGAAUAGGGGAGCCGAAGGGAAACCGAGUCUUAACUGGGCGUUAAGUUGCAGGGUAUAGACCCGAAACCCGGUGAUCUAGCCAUGGGCAGGUUGAAGGUUGGGUAACACUAACUGGAGGACCGAACCGACUAAUGUUGAAAAAUUAGCGGAUGACUUGUGGCUGGGGGUGAAAGGCCAAUCAAACCGGGAGAUAGCUGGUUCUCCCCGAAAGCUAUUUAGGUAGCGCCUCGUGAAUUCAUCUCCGGGGGUAGAGCA